rnacentral:rRNA from 1 species
UACGUAGGGUGCGAGCGUUAAUCGGAAUUACUGGGCGUAAAGCGUGCGCAGGCGGUUCGACAAGUCUGAUGUGAAAUCCCCGGGCUCAACCUGGGAAUGGCGUUUGGGACUGGGAGUCUGGAGUACGGCAGAGGAGACUGGAAUUCCUGGUGUAGCAGUGAAAUGCGUAGACAUCAGGAGGAACACCGAUGGCGAAGGCAGGUCUCUGGGCUGAUACUGACGCUCAUGCACGAAAGCGUGGGGAGCAAACAGG